GAUGAACGCUGGCGGCGUGCCUAAUACAUGCAAGUCGAGCGAACAGACGAGGAGCUUGCUCCUCUGACGUUAGCGGCGGACGGGUGAGUAACACGUGGAUAACCUACCUAUAAGACUGGGAUAACUUCGGGAAACCGGAGCUAAUACCGGAUAAUAUAUUGAACCGCAUGGUUCAAUAGUGAAAGACGGUUUUGCUGUCAUUUAUAGAUGGAUCCGCGCCGCAUUAGCUAGUUGGUAAGGUAACGGCUUACCAAGGCAACGAUGCGUAGCCGACCUGAGAGGGUGAUCGGCCACACUGGAACUGAGACACGGUCCAGACUCCUACGGGAGGCAGCAGUAGGGAAUCUUCCGCAAUGGGCGAAAGCCUGACGGAGCAACGCCGCGUGAGUGAAGAAGGUCUUCGGAUCGUAAAACUCUGUUAUUAGGGAAGAACAAAUGUGUAAGUAACUAUGCACGUCUUGACGGUACCUAAUCAGAAAGCCACGGCUAACUACGUG
rnacentral:rRNA from 1 species